AGCUUCAGUAGCGUAUAUUAAAGUUGUUGCAGUUAAAAGCUCGUAGUCGCAUUUCUGGUGAGAGGAUCCGGUCCGACCUUAGGGUGGGUUCUUGGAUCUCUCUCGCCAUCCUUGAGUGGUCCUCUCUGGCAUUAGUUUGUUGGAGUGAUAGCCGCUCAUCGUUUACUGUGAGAAAAUUAGAGUGUUCAAAGCAGGCUUAUGCCGUUGAAUAUAUUAGCAUGGAAUAAUAAGAUAGGACCUCGGUACUAUUUUGUUGGUUUGCGCACCAAGGUAAUGAUGAACAGGGACAGUUGGGGGUAUUCGUAUUUCAUUGUCAGAGGUGAAAUUCUUGGAUUUCUGAAAGACGAACUACUGCGAAAGCAUUUACCAAGGAUGUUUUCA
rnacentral:rRNA from 1 species